UGGGCUAAACAGUAGAAGCUUGUGGGUC
rnacentral:piRNA from 1 species